rnacentral:rRNA from 1 species
ACUCCUACGGGAGGCAGCAGUGGGGAAUAUUGCACAAUGGGCGCAAGCCUGAUGCAGCAACGCCGUGUGAGUGAAGAAGGUUUUCGGAUCGUAAACUCUGUCCUAAGGGAAGAAACAAAUGACGGUACCUUAGGAGGAAGCCCCGGCUAACUACGUGCCAGCAGCCGCGGUAAUACGUAGGGGCAAGCGUUUAUCCGGAAUCACUGGGCGUAAAGGGUGCGUAGGCGGCUUAGCAAGCCAGGGUGAAAGGCAUUGGCUCAACCAAUGUAAGCCUUUGGAACUGUUAGGCUUGAGUGCAGGAGAGGUAAGUGGAAUUCCUAGUGUAGAGGUGAAAUUCGUAGAUAUUAGGAGGAACACCAGUGGCGAAGGCGACUUACUGGACUGUAACUGACGCUGAUGCACGAAAGCGUGGGUAGCGAACAGGAUUAGAUACCCUGGUAGCACAGAG